AGGUCUUGACAUCCCGAUGCUAUUUCUAGAGAUAGAAAGUUACUUCGGUACAUCGGUGACAGGUGGUGCAUGGUUGUCGUCAGCUCGUGUCGUGAGAUGUUGGUUAAGUCCCGCAACGAGCGCAACCCCUAUUGUUAGUUGCCAUCAUUCAGUUGGGCACUCUAGCGAGACUGCCGGUAAUAAACCGGAGGAAGGUGGGGAUGACGUCAAAUCAUCAUGCCCCUUAUGACCUGGGCUACACACGUGCUACAAUGGUUGGUACAACGAGUUGCGAGUCGGUGACGGCGAGCUAAUCUCUUAAAGCCAAUCUCAGUUCGGAUUGUAGGCUGCAACUCGCCUACAUGAAGUUGGAGUUGCUAGUAAACGCAGGUCAGCCAUACUGCGUUGAAUACGUUCCCGGGCUU
rnacentral:rRNA from 1 species